rnacentral:miRNA from 2 species
CCCCAGGGCGACGCGGCGGG